AUAUACCUAGACAUUGUCUCAUAGGUUAAGUAAACAUGUAUCUGUGGAAGUUUUUUGUGUGAAUGUUUUCUGACCAAAUCUUGGCAAAGAUUAUGCUUGCUUGUCUUUAAAUACCCACUAACAAUAAAGCACAGCAUGCAGUGACAAUUGCUGUUUGCAUGCUGCAUCCCCUGUGUCCUGGUGAUUUUGUGACCCUUACCCAGGGACCCCAACACACUAGACAUUGACAAUUGGCGCUCGAACAGGGACCUUGCAUUGUUGAAUUCAGGAAGGGAUAUUCAGGAUGGCAAACAAUACUGGCUUCCUGCAGGAUGGAUACAGACGCUGCCCGGUGAGGACAGCCCCGUAUCCUUCAAGGAAUUGGCCACCAGUUGAGGAAAAAGAAAUCCCCACUGCCCACCUGGGGGCAGGUUAAGAAGUUGACUGGAGAAGGACAAAAGAUGUUACAACGCACUGGAUGCUGGAUGCCAUUAAUGGAUCGCUUACUGGAGCUCAAUUGAUGGCCUGGGGAGAUGGAGGCAUUGCAGAUGCUCGAUGGGCUUUCAUGGCUGCACCCACUGCUGUUCAGACUCAUCUUUGGAAGGUCACAGUGGCGCUAAAACCCGUGAUGCUAUCAAAUGGAUCGUUUUCAAGGACGGCGAACUCUGUGUCCAUUUAUAAUUUUACUUUGUAUAAAUCUUAUAAUGUAACUGCUUGUGUACCCCUGCCUUAUGUAUUUUUGGUGGGAAACUUUACAUUUUCUCCUACUAUUUCUUGUUUUAAUUGUCGCCUGUAUUCUUGUGUUAAUUCCUCUCUUAAUUUUAAUGACAGUCAUAAUAUUAUGAUUUUAAAACAAAGAACUUAUAUUUGGCUACCUGUUAAAUUAGGAAGAGAAUGGUCC